rnacentral:pre_miRNA from 1 species
UGAUGAUGAUGAUGAUGAGGAUGAUGAUGAUGAUGAUAAUGAUGACGAUGAUGAUUAUCAUCAUCAUCAUCAUGACCAUCGUCGUCAUCAUCAUCC